UGGCAGUUUGAUGCUGAUUGACAUCUCUUUUCACCUCUUGUUGAAAGAAGCAUUAAUUUUGACGUUUCGCGGUGUAUUUUUCAAAUCGAGGAAGAGGAAGAGAGAAUAUUAACGUUGGAUGCGAGAUACAAAAGAAUAAGAAGAAGAAGAACAUACAGAAGAAGAAGAAGAAGAAGAAGAGGGAAUAUUUCCACAGCUCCACAAGCUCUUUUCGCGAUUGACAUUUCAAGAUCCAGAGAAGAGGGUCCUGUACAGCCGUGUUUGAAAACAUUUCCCAGAACUCAGCAUGGUACUAGGAAAAGAGCUUUCAACAGCUCCGGGUAUAAGGACAAUUCAUGGCUUGAAUAUUCUAUGCUUUAUAAUGUUGUAUCUGGCUCGUGUGUUCAUCUCAAGUGGCUUGCAGUUCAGAAAGAGCUGUAUCCACAGCAGCAGCCCAGGGAACUACAGAGACUGUUCUGCCUGCGGCUAUGGAACCCUGACCUGUUCACCGGCCUUGUGCCGGACCUGCUGUUUUCGACACUCUCUAUCUACCGCACCUGCUGUCUCUAACUCUGAAUGAUCGGCUAUGAAAAGCCAACUGACAUUUACUCCUGAGGUGCUGACCUGUUGCACCCUCUACAACCACUGUGAUUAUUAUUAUUUGACCCUGCUGGUCAUCUAUGAACGUUUGAACAUCUAGGCCAUGUACCGUUAUAAUCUCCACCCAGCACAGCCAGAAGAGGACUGGCCACCCCUCAUAGCCUGGUUCCUCUCUAGGUUUCUUCCUAGGUUCCUGCCUUUCUAGGGAGUUUUUCCUAGCCACCGUGCUUCUACAUCUGCAUCGUUUGGGGUUUUAGGCUGGGUUUCUGUAUAGCACUUUGUGACAUCGGCUGAUGUAAAAAGGGCUUUAUAAAUACAUUUGUUUGAUUGACUUACGGAUCUAAGGUGGGCAUGCAGAUACAUGGGAUGCCGUAAUCUGAGGGACAGGCUUCCAGCAGUUCUGAGAGUGCUACAGGAUAUCACACUUGAAAGUAGUGGUGAUAGAUCCGUGGAGGCAAGGGGCCUUCUUUCUCAGAUUUACAUUUCAUAGGGCUUUUGGUUACCUUUUGUAAAGUGCUUGGUGAUGCCAAAUGUCUUUCUGACAUGCUCCAAUCAAGCUUUCUUGACCUAGCAAGGGCUGUGGAUCUAGUAGGUGCCCUUACAGACACAUUACAGGACUACAGAAGUGAGGGUUACUUUGGAGAACUAUGGAAAGAGGUUGAAGAGAUUGCAGAACACUGUAAAAUAAGUGUACAAACAGUGUGUAAAAGACAGCCUAAAACAAGCUUAAGAUUUCACAACUCAUUGAUGAUGAGCACUGUAGGACAGAAAAAUAGUGACGAAAGUGGUGAGAGCUUCCAAAGAGCUAUCUUUUAUCAGAUGCUUGACAGUCUCACAGCUGAGCUGUGAGGCAUUUUUCAAAGAAGAAUUAUGAAAUAAUGCAAGGGGUCCAGACUCUCAACCCAAAGAGUACAACAUUCUUGAAUGAGGAGCCUCUGUUUGCCUUUGCUCAGACCUUUGGGUCAGAUUUAGAGCACCUCAAACACGAGGUUCAUCAAACCAAGCGGCUUCUUGAUAGGAGAGAGAAAAGUGGAAGGGACAGACCGUCUACUCUCCUUGACUUUGUUGUGUUUCUAGAACCUUAUAAAGAGGUCUUCCAUGAGCUAUUUUGACUUUGUAAGAGUUCUGUUGUUACACCAGUCAGCAGUGCUUCUUGCGAGAGAAGCUUCUCAGCUUUAAAACUGAUUAAAACCCACCUUUGGACAACAAUGGUUGAUGACAGGUUAAGUCACCUCGGAAUUCUCAGUGUUGAGUCAAGGAGGGCACGCUCCCUCAACAUGGAUGAGUUUGUGAAACAUUUUGCCAGUUCUCACCAGAACCUCAGAAUUAUGCUGUUUUAAAUCUACCAGGGAUAAUUUGGCACUUAGGCGGUCCCUCUGGUCAUGAUUAAAACCUGUACUGUGUACUAGCUAGUACACUGACAUUCUAAAAUCAUAAAUCCAAAGGGUAUCAUGUCACACAGAUGUAAUUUGGUCCUGAUUAGGCCGAUUACAAAACUUUUCUUUGCUAUUAGUUAACAUAAUAUAUAAGCAUAAAUAUGAUAUUAUAAGUUUGUAAUAUUGAUGGGCACCAAACUUAUUUUUAUUUUUCAAGUCCAUUUCUGCUUUAUACCUGGUAUGUCAAAUUGCAGUGAUUUUUUUGUUUGUUGUAAACUUACUUUUUUCUAAAUAAACUAUGCAACUUAUGUAACACACAAA